GAUGAACGCUGGCGGCGUGCCUAAUACAUGCAAGUCGAGCGAACAGACGAGGAGCUUGCUCCUCUGACGUUAGCGGCGGACGGGUGAGUAACACGUGGAUAACCUACCUAUGAGACUGGGAUAACUUCGGGAAACCGGAGCUAAUACCGGAUAAUAUAUUGAACCGCAUGGUUCAAUAGUGAAAGACGGUUUUGCUGUCACUUAUAGAUGGAUCCGCGCCGCAUAGCUAGUUGGUAAGGUAACGGCUUACCAAGGCGACGAGGCGUAGCCGACCUGAGAGGGUGAUCGGCCACACUGGAACUGGGACACGGUCCAUACUCCUACGGGAGGCAGCAGUAGGGAAUCUUCCGCAAUGGGGGAAAGCCUGACGGAGCAACGCCGCGUGAGUGAUGAAGGUCUUCGGAUCGUAAAACUCUGUUAUUAGGGAAGAACAAAUGUGUAAGUAAAUAUGCACGUCUUGACGGUACCUAAUCAGAAAGCCACGGCUAACUACGUG
rnacentral:rRNA from 1 species